rnacentral:lncRNA from 1 species
UUGAGAUGCUGGACAGUUUAGGAAAAGGAAGAAAGAAGACCCUUAUUCAUGGAGACCACAUGUGAAGACGGAACACCCCAUUCCUCAUGUGGGCACUUCCACUGCUUGCUAAAACUGAUCUUUGGAUGCCCUCGUGCCUGUUGGAGAACCCAAAUAAGGAUUCAAGGUGACCGAGUACAAACACAUGCCGUGGCAUUUCGAAAUGAAGAGCAAGAAGUAGAAGGGAAAAUGCGUAUGUAGCAAUUUAAUGAGGUUUGGAUUACAAGUUCUGUUUCCUUGCCUUUUUGCCAGCAUGUGGCAAUGGUUUUAAAAGAGAAAGAAAACGGACUGAAUGCCAGGAAAAGACUAAGAUCCCCCAAAACUCAACCUUACAAACAGUCCUGGUGUAUUCACAAACCAGGAGUGUCAGGAAAAACUUUCUGGUUAUUCCAUGCCCCAUGAUGAAAACUAGCUAAAGUGAAAAAGAAAGUCAACGGAAUGAAAUAACCAGCUUUUAGUAAAGCUCAUCAUAUCAGAUGCAGCGAGUAGCAGGCGGUCCUGGCACAGUUGUCGAAACUAGAUGAGGACGAUGGCAUGGUCAAGGUGAGGCGAGUCUGACUUCCUGGCCUGCCCUCCCCACACUAAAAAUCAAGAAAAACCGCCCUUCUCCAGCACUGAGCGGCCCUGUAGGAACGGUGUCUCCCAGGAGUGCUUGUGGCUUACAAGUAAUGUGAGAGUCUUUUUAUAACUGUUGAGGUUUAAUUUAAAAGGAAGCUCAGAAUCAGCGGUAAAGGGAGGGGAACGUUGUGAACUACAGACCAUCUGAAAUGGGGAAAAUCAUAAAUACCAGAGUGUCUGAUUAUUUGAGCGUCUCUUGAAGCCGAAUAAUGAGCCUUCUUCAUGUUCUGCUUGCUGGACUUGGCUCCCUCUGACAAAUUUGCAGGCAUCAGGGUCUGUCUGGAAUUCAUUCCAAGUUGGAGGGAUAUUUUUUCCCUUGACAUUUUGCAGCUGAGACAGCCCUGAGCAGGAAGCUGAGGAGCGUAACAUUACCAAAUAUGUCCUUUCUCCUGCCCUUCUAUUUAAUUUCCACAGGAAAAGAAGGCAGAUGCUGGCCCAUGAGAGCUGGCCAAUGAGAAUGCGACAAGAGCAGGCGGCCUCUACUGGCAGUGGGGAAAUUGACCAGAUGCCACUUUUCACCAAAAAAGAAACUAUUCUACGUAUCAACAGUUGAAAUUUGUGCUAUGCUGGAGGAACAAGUCUGACAGUUUCCCACAAGUUGCCCAGCUAUGUCAGGGGCAUUACUGAGCACCAUGUUGGUCUCAUUUUCUCAAGUAGGCUUCAUUAAGAAGGCAGGCAGUACACUGGAGCCGAAACGGCACUGAAAUGGGAGUUAGGAGAGAGGGGCCUCUGUGACUAACAUGCCUGUGCGUUGACCAGAAAUUUCCACCUCCAGGGGCUGCAGAAUCUUUAUUUGUAAAAUGAAGGUUUGGGUAUGAUGAUCUCUCAGAUCCCUUCCAGAUUCCCAAGACUAAAGUCUGCAAGCUAGUUUGGUCACAUGGCACAAUCACUAAAAGAAAUUCCAAUAUUCGUCCAGCUGUGUGUGUACAUAUAUACAUAAAUAUAUGUACUGCUUUAUACAUAUAUUUUUACGUAUACUUUACAAAAUAUAUAAAAUGCAAAUUAAAAAGGACAUAAAGUAUGUCAAUUCUAAUAUUUUCUCUCCAAACCUCAAUAGUUUAUUUUAGACACUCCCUGGGGCCAGUUCAUAUCUCUUUAGAGAGCUCUGCUCUAAGCCACAUUUCAGUUCUGCAAGGAAAGAACAUAAGUCAGUAUGGCAUGCCCUUUGCUUGCAUAUGAAAUAUGUAAGAAAACUUUUUUUUUAAUAUACAAUCUUCUUGAUUAAUCUUGUUAUAGUACUUUUAAAAGUCACAGAGAAAUUUCUUUACUGAAGAAAGUCGCACUGUAAGCUUGUUGUAAAUGGCAACUGAUGCUUAAGCUGGAGGCAGGGAAAUAGCUGAGAGCGGUAGAGACUGGGGUAGUCUGGAGCGUGUAUACCUCGUCCAAACACGGGAGCUGCUUUUCGGCUCCAGCGGGCUUUCCUCAGGCAGGAAUGGAAGCCUCGUGCUGCCAAAUGGGAUUUUUCAAGAGAAUCUCAGAGGACCUAGAUUUUAAUGUGAAGUUAAUUUCUCCAAUUAAUGUUGCUCAAAAAUUUUAGAGCCGAGCAUAUGAUGAUGGGCUGUGGGCAGGCCCUCGGUGAUCCCUGAUCUCAUAUUCAGUUGAUUUAGCUCUGGAAAUUUUUGUGAUAAUAUUGGCACUUUGCAGUCGGACAUCCAAGCUCUGAGCAGGGCGAUUAUGUAUGUGUCAGACAGAAAAAUGUGAAACGUCAUUUCAUUAAGAUCAUGUUUUCCUCUCACCAGCUUUUUGAAAGGGGCCACUUCUUGAAUCCUCUUAAGGCUGCCCCAUCAGACCAGUGAUCUAUGUUGCUUAGUCAUAAAAAUAAGGAAAAUAUUACAUUGCUCUUGAUUUAUCUGGUACUUUUGCAUAUGGAAAUCUCAUAGAAAAAUGUAUUAUUUUAAACAAAUCUUGCGUUUUACUAGAUCAGUGAUUAGCAAACUUUUUCACAGAUAUUUUUUAGUAAAUAUUUAGGCUUUGUGGGCCAUAUGAUCUCUGUCGCAACUGCUCAAUUCUAUACGGCUAUGCAAAAGCAGCCGUAAACCAUACAGACGAAUGAGUCUGGCUAAGUUCCAAUAAAACUUUAUUCAAACCAGCAGGCUGUGGGUCAGAUUUGGCCUAGGAGCUCUAGUCUGUCAGCUCCUGGAUUAAAUCAUAAGCUCUUCUAAGGUGUAACCUGUGUCUGAUUCAACUCUGCAUCUUCAGUCCACACAAAUCCCGGCACAGAGGAGGCACUCCAUGAACAUUUGCUAAAAUAAAUUGAAGGUUGUGGAAUUUAGCACUUUGUCAAUAAUAAUUCACUCCCCGUAGGAGUGAUAGAAAACCCGUGGUAGGGUUUACGGGUUGUGUCCACCCUGAGGCUACAGCAGCGUAUG